ensembl:misc_RNA 7SK 7SK RNA
UGGUGCCAGAAGUGAUCUGGCUGCGACAUCUGUCAACUCACUGAUCUCCAGGGUUGAUUCAGCUAAUCUGAACAGCUAGAUCUGGGUGUCUUCUUUCUCCCUCACUGCUCCAUGUGUGUCCCUCCCAAAACUACACGCUCCGUCGAAGACGAAGACCUUCUACAAAUAGAGACAGACUGGUCUUGGAGGGUAUACAGUAGCUGCACUCCCCUCCUAGAACUUCCAAACAAUCUCUCAAGGUCCAUUUGUAGGAGAACGUAGGGCAGUCAAGUUUCCAAGAUUCCAGACACAUCCAAAUGAGGCACUGCAUGUGGCAGUCUGCCUUUCUUA